GCUGGAAUGGUCUAGUUGGUUUAUGACGAUUGCCUAACACGCAGUAGGUCCCGAGUUCGGUUCUCGGUUCUAGUA
rnacentral:tRNA from 1 species